CGGAUUAUUCACAAAAACAAAACAGAUAUAUCAGAUACAACAUACGGACACAACAAAGUACCAAAGGAAUGUCAAAAUGGAACCCAGAACAGCAUCAUAUCAAAUUCAAUGUAUACAGAGUUACUUUCUUCGAUUGAAUAUACUUAUGCCAUACUCAGUGCAGAACCUGACUCAUUUGCUCAACAUGGAAACCAGAACAACAGCAUAUCAAAUUCGACUUAUAUAGAGCUAGAUAAUUCGGGUGAAUACUCUUAUGCCAC
rnacentral:lncRNA from 1 species